AUUGAACGCUGGCGGCAUGCCUUACACAUGCAAGUCGAACGGCAGCACGGGUGCUUGCACCUGGUGGCGAGUGGCGAACGGGUGAGUAAUACAUCGGAACGUACCUUAUCGUGGGGGAUAACGCAGCGAAAGCUGUGCUAAUACCGCAUACGCCCUGAGGUGGAAAGCGGGGGAUCGAAAGACCUCGCGCGAUUAGAGCGGCCGAUGCCUGAUUAGCUUGUUGGUGGGGUAAAAGCCCACCAAGGCGACGAUCAGUAGCUGGUCUGAGAGGACGAGCAGCCACACUGGGACGGAGACACGGCCAAGACUCCGACGGGGGGCAGCAGUGGGGAAUUUUGGACAAUGGGGGCAACCCUGAUCCAGCAAUGCCGCGUGAGUGAAGAAGGCCUUCGGGUUGUAAAGCUCUUUUGUCAGGGAAGAAACACCGGCUCUAACACAGUCCGGGAAUGACGGUACCUGAAGAAUAAGCACCGGCUAACUACGUGCCGGCAGCCGCCGUAA
rnacentral:rRNA from 1 species